CGGAUAGUUCGUUAGUCGAAAAUACUGAAUAAUUAAACAAACCAAAUGGCAUCACUGGUGGUUCUUUUUUCCACUCCGCUAAACUGUCAUCUCAAACAAAAACAAAUGGAUCAUACAACUGCUAUGAAUACAUUCGACUCGUUUGCUUCCAUCAAUCGGUAAGUGAGAAAGAUGAUUUCUCCCAUCAGUGCGGAUUUCCACUUCUAUCACAGCAGCCAACAACAUCCGUUUUCCUGCAGCAGUAACCUUCAACCCCUGUUGUCAAUGCCGGGGGACAGCAUCAACAGCAGCAGCAGCAGAAUUUGACCAUGGUAUGGUAUUGCGAAGAACUUUCCCCAUUAGAGGUUCCGUGCUUCGCGCACAUUCAAAAUCCUCUUCAGACACGAAAACUCAACGACAAGGAGGUAUUUAUCAACUUGCUCAGCUGAAUUACCACCCGGAGGAACCCGAAUGCACUGAUUCCGUUGUAUAGUAGAAUGAAAAUAGGCGAGGUAAGCGAACGUAAUCGCAUGAUAUUUUAAUAGUUCGCAUUUUUAUCCGGAUCAUACAACUGCUAUGAAUACAUCCGACUCAAUCAAUCGGCGAGUGAGAAAGAUGAUUUCCCUCAUCACCACAUUGCUUAUUUCCACUUCUGUCACGCCAGCCAACAGCAUCAGCUUUCCCGCAGCAGUAUCCUUUAAGUCCAGGGUGCUAUUCCGGGGAACAGCAUCAUCAGUAACAGCAGCAGGACCUGGCCAUCGAUAGUAUUUCGAGCAAUUUUCCCCAUCGGAGAUCCCGUGCUUCACGCACAUUGAAGAAACCUCCUCAGCCACAUAUGUAUGUCAAGGAGAAAAAGGAGCUGGAUUCGAAUCGUCAAUCCAGACAAC